AGAGAUCUCGGGGAUUUGGGUUUGUCACCUUUGAGAACAUUGACGACGCUAAGGAUGCCAUGAUGGCCAUGAAUGGGAAGGUGAGGAUCAGGGUGCUGAGCAGGAGUCCCGUCUCGAGGAUGGGGCACCCACCUGCUAACCCGUCCCGCCCUCUGUCUCCAGUCUGUAGAUGGACGGCAGAUCCGAGUAGACCAGGCAGGCAAGUCGUCAGACAACCGAUCCCGUGGGUACCGUGGUGGCUCUGCCGGGGGCCGGGGCUUCUUCCGUGGGGGCCGAGGACGGGGCCGUGGGUUCUCUAGAGGUGAGUGCCAUGAGUGGGUCCCUUGGGGAUGCUGUGAGGUACUGCUGGUGGGAGCUGGUACUCACUUUUUCCUGUAUGUGCAGGAGGAGGGGACCGAGGCUAUGGGGGGAACCGGUUCGAGUCCAGGAGUGGGGGCUACGGAGGCUCCAGAGACUACUAUAGCAGCCGGAGUCAGAGUGGUGGCUACAGUGACCGGAGCUCGGGCGGGUCCUACAGAGACAGUUAUGACAGUUACGGUAAGU
rnacentral:lncRNA from 1 species